UGAACAGGAACCUUACUGUAACAAGAAGAAUUAGAUGGAGCUGGAAGUUGGAAGUCACUAAAUCAAACCCAGAUGGAGUUGAACACAGUGGAGUUGCACAGGAAGUCAAAAAGUCUUUUUUUUUUUUUUUUUUUUUUAAUUUCAGGGAAAAACAAAAAUCUGAAAGGGUUUGGAUAUAAAAGUUGGGAAAUGUUGAGUGUUGGUUGUUAGAGAAAAGGAAAUGGGGGACAGAAACAGAAAGCAAGCAAGCAACAAAGAAAAUUUAACAACCCUAAUUCAUUUAUUAGAAUAGAUUAUGGGUGAGUGGAGUGCUGCAUAUAUAUAGCUAUGCACUUUGCCAAAGAUGGGAGGAUAUGAGGUUUCUGAUCUGACUGACUCAUCAAAAUUCAGAAAAGAGAGAGAGAGCAUACACCUUUUUUUAAUUAGUUUCAAGCUGGAAAGCUGAAGAACAAAAUGAAUCUUCAUCAUGUUCUGUGUUCAAUCAGCUCUCAACCAUGACAACAAUUACAAUAUUGAAUAUUGAAAAGAGGGACACACACCUGAGAGACUGACAGAAGAGAGUGAGCACACGCUACUUGUGAUUGUAUGAUUGCAUACAAUUGAGGGUGCGUGCUCGCUCUUCUUUCUGUCAGAUUCUCAUUUUUCUUUCUUCUUCUGGUGUGUUGUUUCCAUUUUUUCACCUACACUUGUCUCAUUCUUCUAGUCAUUUCUCUGAGCCAAUGGAUGAUAAUUAUAGCCCUGCAAAUGACACAUAUUACAUGAUCAUCCUUCUAAUUAGUGGAGGAAUUAAGAAUAUAUAUAUAUAUAUAUAUGACCACCUAUCUGCCUAUUAUCCUUUCGUUGUUUCUAGUUCACCCUUAUCUGUUUGUGUUUUACUCUAUUUCUUUAUUUCUCAUAUUAUAUAUUAUUAUCACAUAAUAUUAUAUUAUAUUAUAUUAUAUGUAUGGGUUUAUGCAACUGUGAUGGAGUUUCAAAGCGUGACUUUUUAUGGUACUUUCUUCACGGUGGACACGAACCCAAAUGGAGUUCUUGAAGGUACGCCUUGUUACUGUCUCUGUUACUGUUCAUCAUUUAACGGAUAUUGGGUGAGGUUUCGUCAAACCCUUGUUUUUUUAUUCUUAUUUUUUUCUCCUUCUCGCCUUCAAUCUGGUUCAGAAUUUGUGCCUAGCCCCCUUUUGUUCUGAUUUGCUGUUCUCCUGAUAAGUAGCAGUUUAGAGAAGCCAUCAGAAAAGGGCAAAUCAUGGGUUUAGCUUAAUUAUAUAUAUAUAUAAUAUUUUUAAAGUUUUUGAAUUUGAAGGGUCAGAAUCAGAUGAUGCAUAUAUUUAAACUAUAUCUUCUGUCUCCUUGAAUGCCGUUUUUUUAUUUUGUAGCCUGAGGUAAAGGAAACCCAUCAGCUAAAUAUGCCUAGAUUUAUUCCUUCCCUUUGUGGGCAUAUGUAUGCAUUUGUUUGCUACCGUGAUAAAAGAAAUUCAAGCAGCUAGCAACUUUCCUUAUUCAGCUUUACUGUUUGGUCGGUGUCACCACAGAACUGUGUCCAGAAGAACUUGAAGCACUACAAUAGUAUAAUCACUCAGGGUUUUAAAUUGCAGUUGCUGUCUUGUUAUAUUAUGCUUGCAUUAUCACAGCCUGAAGCAGUUGCAGUGGCAGCUACAACUGAGAUGUUGCAGCAUCAUCAGGUGAUGCGGUCCACAGUUUAAAACCUUGGUUGUGUGCUUGAAUCUGAAAGUGUAUACCCUUUUGUGAUUACUUAGAAGAGGAUAAGCAAUUUUAUCAGGGUUUACAGUUUCCCGUUUUCUUCAGUAUAAUUUGUGGAAUUAAAAACAUUAUGAGCUUGAAUUUCUUUUUGAAGUAUAUGACUAGAUGUCACUACAUUGAUAAUACGUAAUAUGUUAAAAUAUACCUCAUUUCAAGAUUCAAUUGCUUAUCUCAUUUUUCAUUAGUUUAUUAUGUGAUCUGUCUUCGAAAUGAGUUUUGAAGUCUUGUUGGCUGUUGAAUAUGCUGUGCAGUUUUGUUGUUUUGAAAGGUACUGCCAGUACUUCUGUUAUUGUUUAGAGUUGUUGAUAUUGUUACCGUUAUAUGCUAGAUAAAUGAUAGAAUUAAAAUUUGUAGGUGUGAAUUUACAUACGUGUGACUUGCAUUGCAUCAUUAAUGAUUUUGGCUUUGGUGCAUUGUUGGAAUAUUCAACUAUAACCUUCUAUUUUGUAGUUAAGACUGUAUGUUUUUGCCAUUUUCUUUUGUUUGCUGCAUGGCUUGUGGUUUUCAUUUAAAUUAUUUUUGGUAACAUAUUUCUUCUGGAUUCUACUUGUGUCUCAUAUAUUUAUAUCACUAUAUAUAAGAGUUCUAGUUUGUGGUUGAAAUUUUUUCGAUGCUGUGUCGGGAACUGUACACCGCUGAAUUCAGGUAUAUUAAUUUCAUAGUUGACACUGUAUUUUUGCAUACGUCCUGGAUAUGUUUUUGCUCAUGUUGUAGUAUAUAUUUUGACUAUCACACACUUUGAUCAAAAAAGAAAAACAUAAAUAUUUGGACAUUUACACACAAAUGCACGUCAACAAAAUGAAGAAAUUUGAUAUUUAAGUUUUUUUGCCGUAGGUAGAAUCUAAAUGGAAGUUACAUGUCAAGCACGAAAGCAUUAGCAAUUGGUGGGGAAAAUGCAAGAACAGAAGAUGCGUAUUCAAAUGUUCUAUUCCAACUGACAAUAUGGCUAUGAAUCCUUUGCAAAGUUUCCAUGUCUCAUGCAUCGAAAAAAAUGGGAACUGGGUUGCACAAAUAUGUAGUAAUAGUGUGCGGUUUUGGCUAGGACUCUUCAUGUCUGUACAUGAUGCAAGUAAGGCUUAUAAUAGCACAACUAUCAAGAUUUUCAAAGUCAAUAUAGUAAAAGAGGUUGUGCUCAAUAUGAUGGAGUGAUGGUUGUUCAACACUUGGUACCAACUCAAGUUUGUGGAGUUUCUGAUGAGUGAUAACUCUCUGCUUAGUUAUUAGAAGUAAUGAAUAAAUGAUCUUAACUUGUAUAUGAUGCAUCAAAUAAGAGGGUUCUCAUCAUGUGAAGGAGUUGGUGUGAAGAAUGGACUCGUCAUCCCCAGAAGACAAGCCAAAAAUUGCUUUAGUGAUUUUUUCUUCUUCUUGAAUUUUAGAAGAAAAUGCUCAUAACAAUUAUAUUUUUGUUGUGGUUAAUUGGAUCCGUUAUUGUUCUCAAUGAGAUAAUGAUACGUCAUGACAUAAUUAUAUUUUUA